AAACUUUCAACAACGGAUCUCUUGGUUCUGGCAUCGAUGAAGAAGCGCAGCGAAAUGCGAUAAGUAAUGUGAAUUGCAGAAUUCAGUGAAUCAUCGAAUCUUUGAACGCACAUUGCGCCCUCUGGUAUUCCGGGGGGCAUGCCUGUUCGAGCGUCAUUACAC
rnacentral:rRNA from 1 species